UCUCCCUCGCUUGUCUCUCUCCUCACCCCUCUGUCUCUUUGCCAGUGUGCCUUCCUCUCAAGAGUCCUCCCGUUUAUCCACUCCAGAUAGUUACUGUACCAGCCUCACAAGCUCAAAGCCUUCUGGUGUGAUCUCGUGCGAUUGGCUGGAGGCGUCGCUUUUCUCGAGCCCCAGGCACUUCUCUGCACCUGCUACGACCAAGACCCUCCUUAUUUGUGCCAGGAAUUUGUGCCUUUGGUGUUAAAAGAAGUGUGAACUGUUUAGUGAUCAAACCCCAGUUCCCGGACGAUCAGUAGUGAUGUUUGAAGGAGUGUCAGUCUGUAACUCAUCCGCGUGGCUGAUGGCGACUUUGUUUCUCGAACUAUUUCAGCUCCCUGAUUAUCCUGAGUCUUCACAGAGAACUCGACCUGCUACUGGAGGAAAAGCGCUAUGAGCGACCUGGAGCACAGCAGUGCGACAUCUGAGCUUUCCGCCCUGAGUGUGAAAAUGUGAAAAUGGCAUAGACCGAGACCAUCAAAGAUCUGCUUGAGACACAUUUUGUUGUUACGUUGUCAUCAUUUAGCAGACCUAAAUGGAACAAUUGUCCUGAGAGGCCGUCUCACAGUCUGCCUGGAGCUCGUCUGAGUCAUCCGAUGACCUGUCCCGCCGUUCCUCAACCUAGUAAAUGCCACGGCUCACCCUCAGUACGUGUUCUGUCCUGGCCUCUAUCUUGGAGAACCUUGCGCUGUGUUCCGAGCUCAUGUAGACUCCCACUUUCCUCCCCCCCCCACCCACCCCUCCCUU